rnacentral:rRNA from 1 species
GAUGAACGCUGGCGGCGUGCCUAAUACAUGCAAGUCGAGCGAACGGACGAGAAGCUUGCUUCUCUGAUGUUAGCGGCGGACGGGUGAGUAACACGUGGAUAACCUACCUAUAAGACUGGGAUAACUUCGGGAAACCGUAGCUAAUACCGGAUAAUAUUUUGAACCGCAUGGUUCAAAAGUGAAAGACGGUCUUGCUGUCACUUAUGGAUGGAUCCGCGCUGCAUUAGCUAGUUGGUAAGGUAACGGCUUACCAAGGCAACGAUGCAUAGCCGACGUGAGAGGGUGAUCGGCCACACUGGAACGGAAACACGGUCCAGACUCCUAAGGGAGGCAGCAGUAGGGAAUCUUCCGCAAUGGGCGAAAGCCUGACGGAGCAACGCCGAGUGAGUGAUGAAGGUCUUCGGAUCGUAAAACUCUGUUAUUAGGGAAGAACAUAUGUGUAAGUAACUGUGCACAUAUUGACGGUACCUAAUAAGAAAGCCACGGCUAACUACGUG